rnacentral:rRNA from 1 species
UACGUAGGGUGCGAGCGUUGUCCGGAAUUACUGGGCGUAAAGAGCUCGUAGGUGGUUUGUCGCGUUGUUCGUGAAAACUCACAACUCAAUUGUGGGCGUGCGGGCGAUACGGGCAGACUGGAGUACUGCAGGGGAGACUGGAAUUCCUGGUGUAGCGGUGGAAUGCGCAGAUAUCAGGAGGAACACCGGUGGCGAAGGCGGGUCUCUGGGCCGUAACUGACGCUGAGGAGCGAAAGCAUGGGGAGCGAACAGG